GAGCGCCGUAGCAAUACGGAGCGGCAGACGGGAGAGUAACACGUGGGAACGUGCCCUUCAGUUCGGAACAACCCAGGGAAACUUGGGCUAAUACCGGAUACGUCCGUAAGGAGAAAGAUUUAUCGCUGAAGGAUCGGCCCGCGUCUGAUUAGCUAGUUGGUGAGGUAACGGCUCACCAAGGCGACGAUCAGUAGCUGGUCUGAGAGGAUGAUCAGUCACACUGGAACUGAGACACGGUCCAGACUCCUACGGGAGGCAGCAGUGGGGAAUAUUGGACAAUGGGCGAAAGCCUGAUCCAGCCAUGCCGCGUGUGUGAUGAAGGUCUUCGGAUCGUAAAGCACUGUCGCGAGGGAAGAUAA
rnacentral:rRNA from 1 species